GAUGAACGCUGGCGGCGUGCCUAAUACAUGCAAGUCGAGCGAAUGGAUUAAGAGCUUGCUCUUAUGAAGUUAGCGGCGGACGGGUGAGUAACACGUGGGUAACCUGCCCAUAAGACUGGGAUAACUCCGGGAAACCGGGGCUAAUACCGGAUAACAUUUUGAACCGCAUGGUUCGAAAUUGAAAGGCGGCUUCGGCUGUCACUUAUGGAUGGACCCACGUUGCAUUAGAUAGUCGGUGAGGUAACGGCUCACCAAGGAAACGAUGCGUAGCCGACCGGAGAGUGUGGUCGGCCACACUGGGACUGAGACACGGCCCAGACUCCUACGGGAGGCAGCAGUAGGGAAUCUUCCGCAAUGGACGAAAGUAUGACGGAGCAACGCCGCGUGAGUGAUGAAGGCUUUCGGGUCGUAAAACUCUGUUGUUAGGGAAGAACAAGUGCUAGUUGAAUAAGCUGGCACUUUGACGGUACCUAACCAGAAAGCCACGGCUAACUACGUGCCAGCCGCCGCGGUAA
rnacentral:rRNA from 1 species